rnacentral:miRNA from 1 species
GAGAGAGAAAUGAGAACU